UAUCAGUUUAAUAUCUGAUACGUCCUCUAUCCGAGGACAAUAUAUUAAAUGGAUUUUUGGAAGUAGGAGUUGGAAUAGGAGCUUGCUCCGUCCACUCCAAGCAUCGACCUGGUAUUGCAGUACCUCCAGGAACGGUGC
rnacentral:snRNA from 1 species